ACAAUAGUGUAUAUUACAUGUACGUACUCAGGGACAGAUGAGCUGCCGACACAGAAAGGAAGAGAAAAUGAGGCCUGUCUACCUACUGGCAGUGUUUAUGUUACUGGCUGUUUGUGCUUUGAGUGUAGAAGGGAGGCUAAGACGGUGUAUCUGUAAUCAUUUCCCGUGCCUGGAAUGUGAGGACCGGCCAUGGCUGGAUGGAGUUGGCAGAUCUCGUAGUAGGCGGUUCAGGUCGCAAAGGCGUUUUAUACCCAGGCAGGAAAGGCAGAGAACUCGAAGGACCUACUAAGUCUGAUAGAUGGAUUAUUUAAACAGCCAUUACUCAUAUACAGUACUUUAAUUGCAAAAAACAAUUGCCAAUUCAAAUAAACGAAUAUAAUAUUUCGAAAG